rnacentral:rRNA from 1 species
AUACGUAGGUGGCAAGCGUUGUCCGGAAUUAUUGGGCGUAAAGCGCAUGUAGGCGGUUUGGUAAGUCGGUCGUGAAAAUGCGGUGCUUAACGCCGUAUGGCGCUUGAAACUGCUGAACUUGAGUGCAGGAGAGGAAAGGGGAAAUCCCAGUGUAGCGGUGAAAUGCGUAGAUAUUGGGAAGAACACCGGUGGCGAAGGCGCCUUUCUGGACUGUGUCUGACGCUCAGAUGCGAAAGCCAGGGUAGCGAACGGAUUAGAUACCCCGGUAGUCCUGGCCGUAAACGAUGGGUACUAGGUGUGGGAGGUAUCGACUCCUUCCGUGCCGGAGUUAAGGCAAUAAGUACCCCGCCUGGGGAGUACGGCCGCAAGGCUUAAACUCAAAGGAAUUGACGGG